UACGUAGGUGGCAAGCGUUAUCCGGAUUUACUGGGUGUAAAGGGCGUGUAGGCGGGACUGCAAGUCAGAUGUGAAAACCAUGGGCUCAACCUGUGGCCUGCAUUUGAAACUGUAGUUCUUGAGUACUGGAGAGGCAGACGGAAUUCCUAGUGUAGCGGUGAAAUGCGUAGAUAUUAGGAGGAACACCAGUGGCGAAGGCGGCUUACUGGGCUUUAACUGACGCUGAGGCUCGAAAGCGUGGGUAGCAAACAGG
rnacentral:rRNA from 1 species